AGACCGUUCCUGAUUUAUGGUGGUUCAACUUACAACUACAUCAAUGAAUGACUUGAGACGUUCAACACCUUAUUAUAAAGCACGCUGUGUGUUAGAUGACUGUACCCAACCGUAUGCUAAUCUAAAUAAGCCCUGGCCCCGAGAUGAGCAAUGUCGCAGCAGUUAGAGCUCACCAACCAUCAGACACCGCCCAACGGAACCCCAUUCCAGCAGCCACCACUACAGCUUUGAUUAGGCCAGAGACUGAUUUCAGUAACUUUCUCCUAAUUAAAAGACCCCCAAGCAUGGACUGGUUCCAGCUGCUUUACAGAGGCUGAGCACUUGAGUGCCUCUGUGUCCUGAAAAGAACAUUUGAUGUAUAUGGCCCAACUGUAACUCAUUUAAAUGUUGGGUUUACACCCCAAGGUGAACUUGGGUCAUAUGUAACAGGCAUGUUUGUGCAUUAUGCAUGUGCCAGCCCCCUUCAUGAAUAUUCAUAGCUGCUCCUAUAAUCUGUUGAAUAUGCAUGCUUGGCCAAUCCAUUCAGCAUGGACCCCUGUUCCAUUCUCCUCUCCCUCGCAGGUGACUGCCUCCCAGGCUCCAGGCUGGGCAAUGCUUCCCAGCCUGUUGGGAUGGCCACCUUGCAGCCUGUAACCCUUUGGAAGGUAGUUUCCUUUCUAAAUGUGUAGGUUGUGUGAUUUUGAGUUAACAAAGUUCUUGAAAUCUCUCUUUCAUUCUUUAACAAAUAUGAGGGGGUCAUCUAUCCCGUGCCAGGCGCUAGAAGAAGUGAACCAGACAGAGUUCAUCUCAAACUUUAAGGAACUCUCAAUCCAGUGAGGUUAAACAGGCAGGGAAAGUGGCAAGUUCACAGGCAGGGCUAAGUGCCUCAUAGGAAAGCCCUCCCCAGGUCAGUGAUAGGGUUUGGCUCUGUCCCCACCCAAAUCUCAUCUUGAACUGUAGCUCCCACGAUUCCCAUGCGUCAUGGGAGGAACCCAGUGGGAGGUAAUUGAAUCAUGGGGGUGGGUUUUUUUUCUGUGCUGUUCUCUUGAUCGUGAGUGAGUCUCAUGAGAUCUGAUGGUUUUAUAAAGGGGAGUUCCCCUACACAAGCUCUCUCUUGCCUGCUGCCAUGUAAGACGUCCCUUGCUCUUCCACCAUGAUUUUGAGGCCGCCCCAGCCCUGUGGAAUUGCG
rnacentral:lncRNA from 1 species